rnacentral:snRNA from 1 species
AAAGCAAGAAACAACCUCUCUAG